GAUCAUGGCUCAGGAUGAACGCUAGCUACAGGCUUAACACAUGCAAGUCGAGGGGCAGCAUGAACUUAGCUUGCUAAGUUUGAUGGCGACCGGCGCACGGGUGAGUAACACGUAUCCAACCUUCCGUUUACUCAGGGAUAGCCUUUCGAAAGAAAGAUUAAUACCUGAUAGUAUGGUGAGAUUGCAUGAUAACACCAUUAAAGAUUUAUUGGUAAACGAUGGGGAUGCGUUCCAUUAGGUAGUAGGCGGGGGUAACGGCCCACCUAGCCUGCGAUGGAUAGGGGUUCUGAGAGGAAGGUCCCCCACAUUGGAACUGAGACACGGUCCAAACUCCUACGGGAGGCAGCAGUGAGGAAUAUUGGUCAAUGGGCGAGAGCCUGAACCAGCCAAGUAGCGUGAAGGAUGAAGGUCCUACGGAUUGUAAACUUCUUUUAUACGGGAAUAAAGUUUCCUACGUGUAGGAUUUUGUAUGUACCGUAUGAAUAAGCAUCGGCUAACUCCGUG
rnacentral:rRNA from 1 species